GACGAGUCUCACGAACGUUAUUCGGAAUUACUGGGCUUAAAGGGUGCGUAGGCGGUGGAGUAAGUCGGAUGUGAAAUACCUUAGCUUAACUAGGGAACUGCACUCGAUACUACUUUGCUAGAGUAAGACAGAGGUGAGUGGAACUGAGGGUGGAGCGGUGAAAUGCGUUGAUAUCCUCAGGAACGCCGGUGGCGAAAGCGACACACUGGGUCUUAACUGACGCUGAGGCACGAAAGCCAGGGGAGCGAACGGG
rnacentral:rRNA from 1 species